CCUACGGGAGGCAGCAGUGGGGAAUAUUGGACAAUGGGCGAAAGCCUGAUCCAGCAAUGCCGCGUGAGUGAUGAAGGCCUUAGGGUUGUAAAGCUCUUUUACCAGGGAUGAUAAUGACAGUACCUGGAGAAUAAGCUCCGGCUAACUCCGUGCCAGCAGCCGCGGUAAUACGGAGGGAGCUAGCGUUGUUCGGAAUUACUGGGCGUAAAGCGUACGUAGGCGGUUAUUCAAGUCAGAGGUGAAAGCCCGGGGCUCAACCCCGGAACUGCCUUUGAAACUAGAUAGCUAGAAUCUUGGAGAGGUUAGUGGAAUUCCGAGUGUAGAGGUGAAAUUCGUAGAUAUUCGGAAGAACACCAGUGGCGAAGGCGACUAACUGGACAAGUAUUGACGCUGAGGUACGAAAGCGUGGGGAGCAAACAGGAUUAGAUACCCUGGUAGUCCACGCCGUAAACGAUGAUAACUAGUUGUUCGGGCACUUGGUGCCUGAGUGACGCAGCUAACGCAUUAAGUUAUCCGCCUGGGGAGUACGGUCGCAGAUUAAAACUUAAAGGAAUUGACGG
rnacentral:rRNA from 1 species